AUUGAACUACCCUUUUUGGAGAGUUUGAUCCUGGCUCAGGACGAACGCUGGCGGCGUGCCUAAUACAUGCAAGUCGAGCGGAGUGUUCCCUUCGGGGUUCACUUAGCGGCGGACGGGUGAGUAACACGUAGGCAACCUGCCCAUAAGACCGGGAUAACUGGCGGAAACGCCUGCUAAUACCGGAUAAUCGAUUCGC
rnacentral:rRNA from 1 species